rnacentral:rRNA from 1 species
GGUCAAGCGAAUAAGCGCACACGGUGGAUGCCUAGGCGGUCAGAGGCGAUGAAGGACGUGGUAGCCUGCGAAAAGUGUCGGGGAGCUGGCAACAAGCUUUGAUCCGGCAAUAUCCGAAUGGGGAAACCCACUGCUUCGGCAGUAUCCUGCAGUGAAUUCAUAGCUGCUGGAAGCGAACCCGGUGAACUGAAAUAUCUAAGUAACCGGAGGAAAAGAAAUCAACCGAGAUUCCCUAAGUAGUGACGAGCGAACGGGGAACAGCCCUUAAGCUGGAAUGGCUUUAGAAAAACAAUCUGGAAAGAUUGGCCAUAGAAGGUGAUAGCCCUGUAUUUAAAAGGGCCACUCCAGUGAAGACGAGUAGGGCGGGGCACGUGAAACCCUGUCUGAAUAUGGGGGGACCAUCCUCCAAGGCUAAAUACUCCUGACCGACCGAUAGUGAACCAGUACCGUGAGGGAAAGGCGAAAAGAACCCCGGAGAGGGGAGUGAAAUAGAUCCUGAAACCGUGUGCGUACAAGCAGUAGGAGCUCGCAAGAGUGACUGCGUACCUUUUGUAUAAUGGGUCAGCGACUUACUGUUCGUGGCAAGCUUAACCGUAUAGGGGAGGCGAAGGGAAACCGAGUCUGAUAAGGGCGCAUAGUCGCGGGCAGUAGACCCGAAACCGGGUGAUCUAGUCAUGGCCAGGGUGAAGGUGCCGUAACAGGUACUGGAGGCCCGAACCCACGUCUGUUGCAAAAGACGGGGAUGAGCUGUGAUUAGGAGUGAAAAGCUAAUCGAACCCGGAGAUAGCUGGUUCUCCUCGAAAGCUAUUUAGGUAGCGCCUCGGACGAAUACUACUGGGGGUAGAGCACUGUUAUGGCUAGGGGGUCAUCGCGACUUACCAAACCAUUGCAAACUCCGAAUACCAGUACGUACUAUCCGGGAGACACACGGCGGGUGCUAACGUCCGUCGUGAAAAGGGAAACAACCCAGACCCACAGCUAAGGUCCCAAAUUCACUGCUAAGUGGAAAACGAUGUGGAAAGGCACAGACAGCCAGGAGGUUGGCUUAGAAGCAGCCACCCUUUAAAGAAAGCGUAAUAGCUCACUGGUCGAGUCGGUCUGCGCGGAAGAUUUAACGGGGCUAAGCAGUGAACCGAAGCUUGGGGUGCAUAAAACUUGUUUUAUGCGCGGUAGAGGAGCGUUCCGUAAGCCUGCGAAGGUGGAUUGAGAAGUCUGCUGGAGGUAUCGGAAGUGCGAAUGCUGACAUGAGUAACGAUAAUGCGGGUGAAAAGCCCGCACGCCGAAAGCCCAAGGUUUCCUUGCGCAACGUUAAUCGACGCAGGGUUAGUCGGUCCCUAAGGCGAGGGCGAAAGCCGUAGUCGAUGGGAAGCAGGUUAAUAUUCCUGCACCUCGCGUGAGUGCGAUGGAGGGACGGAGAAGGUUAGGUGUACCGGGCGUUGGUUGUCCCGGGGAAAGGCGGUAGGUUUGGAUCUUUGGCAAAUCCGGGAUCCUUUAAGACCGAGCACCGAGACGAGCCUUUAUGGCGAAGUCACUGAUACCACGCUUCCAGGAAAAGCUCCUAAGCUUCAGCUCACGAAGACCGUACCGUAAACCGACACAGGUGGGUAGGAUGAGAAUUCUCAGGCGCUUGAGAGAACUCGGGUGAAGGAACUAGGCAACAUGGCACCGUAACUUCGGGAGAAGGUGCACCCUUUUUGGUGGCUCAUGCGAGCUAUAGCUGAAGAGGGUCGCAGAAACCAGGCCGCUGCGACUGUUUAUCAAAAACACAGCACUCUGCAAACACGAAAGUGGACGUAUAGGGUGUGACGCCUGCCCGGUGCUGGAAGGUUAAUUGAUGGGGUCAGCCGCAAGGCGAAGCUCUUGAUCGAAGCCCCAGUAAACGGCGGCCGUAACUAUAACGGUCCUAAGGUAGCGAAAUUCCUUGUCGGGUAAGUUCCGACCUGCACGAAUGGCGUAACGACAGCGGCGCUGUCUCCACCCGAGACUCAGUGAAAUUGAAAUCGCUGUGAAGAUGCAGCGUUCCCGUGGCAAGACGGAAAGACCCCGUGAACCUUUACUAUAGCUUUACACUGAACGUUGAGUUCGUCUGUGUAGGAUAGGUGGGAGGCUAUGAAACUGUGGCGCUAGCUGCAGUGGAGCCAUCCUUGAAAUACCACCCUGUCGUGCUUGACGUUCUAACCUAGAUCCGUUAUCCGGAUCAGGGACCGUGUAUGGUGGGUAGUUUGACUGGGGCGGUCUCCUCCUAAAGAGUAACGGAGGAGCACGAAGGUACGCUCAGCGCGGUCGGACAUCGCGCACUGUGUGCAAAGGCAUAAGCGUGCUUGACUGCAAGAUCGACGGAUCAAGCAGGUACGAAAGUAGGUCUUAGUGAUCCGGUGGUUCUGUAUGGAAGGGCCAUCGCUCAACGGAUAAAAGGUACUCCGGGGAUAACAGGCUGAUACCGCCCAAGAGUUCAUAUCGACGGCGGUGUUUGGCACCUCGAUGUCGGCUCAUCACAUCCUGGGGCUGUAGUCGGUCCCAAGGGUAUGGCUGUUCGCCAUUUAAAGUGGUACGCGAGCUGGGUUCAGAACGUCGUGAGACAGUUCGGUCCCUAUCUGCCAUGGGCGUUGGAAGUUUGAGAGGGGCUGCUCCUAGUACGAGAGGACCGGAGUGGACGAACCUCUGGUGUUCCGGUUGUCACGCCAGUGGCAUUGCCGGGUAGCUAUGUUCGGAAGCGAUAACCGCUGAAAGCAUCUAAGCGGGAAGCGCGCCUCAAGAUGAGACUUCCCGGGGCACAAGCCCCCUAAAGGAACCAUAUAGACUAUGUGGUUGAUAGGUCAGGUGUGUAAGUACAGCAAUGUAUUGAGCUAACUGAUACUAAUGAUCCGUGCGGCUUGACCAU